UAGAAGAAACCUAAGACAUAGAAUGGAAAACAUCAGCUUUACAGAGGAAAGAAAGCUCAAACAUGCAUAUUCUCAGCCUUAGAGUGCCUAGAAUCAACCUGGAAUUGAACCAGCCACUAUGAAUAGGGUGCAUUUCAGCUUCCACAAAUUACUACAAAUACACACAAACUGAAGGUGUUAAAGAAGAAAGGCAAACUACAAGCUAAGUGCUGAAACUAUCAAGAUGGACAAAAGUAUGUCAUAGAACUGGGUCAAUGAAUAAUGCACGACAGAAAGAAGAUGGUGAAAUGGAUAAGAAGGUGUUCAAAAUACAGGAAAAGUGAGGUGGAUCUGGCAAAGGCCAGAUCCCUGCAAAGGCCAUCUGCUGAAAGCCAGGACAGCACAGUCUUCCUACAGAGAUCUGAACAGAAACUGACAAAAGAAGUCCAAAGGCAAGUAGAAGGAGUCACAGCCUCUUCCCAGGAUCCUGGAAUUGCUCCAUGUCUACCUCCUAAACCUCCCCCUAUGCAGACACACACAUUCACACACACUACAUUUGACCCUCUCAUCUACCAGAGACAUACAGAAUUAUCUCCAACAAUCACUGCAAAAGUUAGAGCUCCAAGAGUUUCCCUCUAUGUUUUGUUUGUAGACAUAGAUAUUCACAACAAAAUGCACUUCUACAACAAAGAAACUCAUCGUUAUAAACUUAAGUGUCACAGGAGCUGGGCAAUUGCUUACAUCAGAUUAUUUUUAUGAUAACUGAAGGAGAUGGUUGAGUGUACAGUUUGAGUUCUUCUUCCUGGUUGGACAGAUUACAGUUCUAUUCCUAGAACUUUUCUGCAAAAGAACAAAGGUACAGAAUUCUCAUUUUUGUUCCUGAUAUUAAUAAUACUAUUCUCUGCUUUAAACAAACCUCAUCCUUCAAGGUCUCUCAAAUAUUUCAUCUUCAAUGCAGUUUUCCUUAAAGCCA
rnacentral:lncRNA from 1 species